CAAUAGCGUAUAUUAAAGUUGUUGCAGUUAAAAAGCUCGUAGUUGGAUCUCAGGUCCAGGCUUGCGGUCCACUCCUUGGUGGCUACUGCUCGUCCUGACCUACCUCCCGGUUUUACCCUUGGUGCUCUUGAUUGAGUGUCUCGGGUGGCCGGAACAUUUACUUUGAAAAAUUAGAGUGUUCAAAGCAGGCCUAUGCUCUGAAUAGGUUAGCAUGGAAUAAUAGAAUAGGACUUCGGUACUAUUUUGUUGGUUUCUAGGACCGAAGUAAUGAUUAAUAGGGACAGUUGGGGGCAUUCAUAUUCCAUUGUCAGAGGUGAAAUUCUUGGAUUAACGGAAGAUGAACUACUGCGAAAGCAUCUGCCAAGGAUGUUUUCAUUAAUCAAGAACGAAAGUUGGGGGCUCGAAGAUGAUCAGAUACC
rnacentral:rRNA from 1 species